GACGAACGCUGGCGGCGUGCUUAACACAUGCAAGUCGAACGGAAAGGCCCUGCUUUUGUGGGGUGCUCGAGUGGCGAAAGGGUGAGUAACACGUGAGUAACCUGCCCUUGACUUUGGGAUAACUUCAGGAAACUGGGGCUAAUACCGGAUAGGAGCUCCUGCUGCAUGGUGGGGGUUGGAAAGUUUCGGCGGUUGGGGAUGGACUCGCGGCUUAUCAGCUUGUUGGUGGGGUGGUGGCUUACCAAGGCUUGGACGGGUAGCCGGCCUGGGAGGGUGAAGGGGCACGUUGGGACUGGGACAGGGCCCAGACUGCUACGGGAGGCAGCAGUGGGGAAUAUUGCACAAUGGGCGGAAGCCUGAUGCAGCAACGCCGCGUGAGGGACGACGGCCUUCGGGUUGUAAACCUCUUUUAGCAGGGAAGAAGCGAAAGUGACGGUACCUGCAGAAAAAGCACCGGCUAACUACGUG
rnacentral:rRNA from 1 species